UAGCGUAUAUUAAAGUUGUUGCAGUUAAAAAGCUCGUAGUCGGAUUUCGGGGCGGGGCGACCGGUCUGCCGAUGGGUAUGCACUGGUCGGCGCGUCCUUCUUUCCGGAGACCGUGCCUACUCUUAACUGAGCGGGGGCGGGAGACGGAUCGUUUACUUUGAAAAAAUCAGAGUGUUUCAAGCAGGCAGCUCGCUCUUGCAUGGAUUAGCAUGGGAUAAUGAAAUAGGACUUUGGUGCUAUUUUGUUGGUUUCGAACACCGAAGUAAUGAUUAACAGGGACAGUCAGGGGCACUCGUAUUCCGUCGAGAGAGGUGAAAUUCUCAGACCAAUGGAAGACGAACCACUGCGAAAGCAUUUG
rnacentral:rRNA from 1 species